rnacentral:rRNA from 1 species
ACGGACCAAUGGUGUACCAGUCAUGCCGCCAGGUGUGCAGCUGGGUAGCUACGUCCGGGACGGAUAAACGCUGAAAGCAUCUAAGCGUGAAACCAGCCUAAAGAUGAGGUUUCUCAUUGUGAAAGCAGGUAAGGUCCCAUGAAGACGACAUGGUAGAUAGGCCGGGAGUGGAAGUGCAGUGAUGCACGGAGCGGACCGGUACUAAUAGACCGAGGGCUUGACUUA